AGAAACUCUUGUGUCUCGCUUUUCUGGGACUUGUCCAAUUUCGCUUGCUACACCAAGCGUUCACGCAAGCGAUCUUCUCUCGUCCGCUCUUUGUAUCAUUGUACAGGUACUCCCCGAUAUACGCUAUCAAUGCGGACCGGAGGCAAUAGCGUAUCUCGAAUAUUAGCAAAUGUCGAGUUUUCAGUCAAAUUAUAGCUAAUUUUCGUAUAAUUUUGCUUGAAGUGGUAGGAUUUACCACUUAAUUAGUUAUUUGAUCUGAUUCAACUGAAGAUUACAAUUGUACACCUUUUGAAAUGGCUUUUAAUAUUCGAUCUAAUGGGAAUUUAUUUUGAAUUUGAUAUUCGAUGUGUCAAAUUAGUACAAUUUGCUCAAAGAACUUUCAAAUUUAGAAAAAAAGCUUAUAGCGAAAUCGCGUAUAUCGAGUAUGGCGUAUAUCGGGGAAUACCUGUAUAGCCACCAGAGGAAGGCGCUGCUUCGCGUUCACAUGAAAAUGUGGUAGUGUGAAAUCAAGUUUGCAAGCGGUAGGACGCGUCGAUGCGUGCCCGUUUUUUUCUCUCGUGAAACCAGUACGGAAAAACUAUUUGCAAAUCGUAACACACGCACAAAUGGAAGUGAGCACGGACCACGAUAGAAAUAAUUAAUUGGUUGCAGUGCCAAAAACAAAAGGACAGGAGAGGCAGGAACGAUCAUUCAACGCGUUAGCGCCGGACGAAGGAGAAGCGGCAGGAAGGCAGGAACGAUCCUCCAACGUGCUCGCGCUCCAACGUGCUCGCGAAGGCAGGAACGCGCCUGGUAGAGGAGAGGCGGCAGGAAGGUAGGGACGAUCAUCCAGCACGCUAGCACAGUACCUGGGAACAGCGAGGGGGAGGCAAGCAGGAAUAAUUUUUAACGCGUGCACACCAUUCGACGAAGACAACGCUGGAUGAAAGGAAGAACGAGGAGAGAAGGCAGGCAAGACGGGUACGUGUGUAUUCCGCACCGGUUUUCGGCAGUGUGAAUUGUGUGAGUAUGUAAAUUUGUAUGUGCGAGUAAGAAGGUAAAAUAAAGAGCGUAAGCAUGUACGGAAUCGACAAA